UACGUAGGUGGCAAGCGUUGUCCGGAUUUACUGGGCGUAAAGAGCGCGCAGGCGGUCAGAUAAGUCGAAUGUGAAAGCCCCCGGCUCAACUGGGGAGGGUCAUUCGAUACUGUUCGACUCGAAGGCAGGAGAGGGAAGUGGAAUUCCCGGUGUAGUGGUGAAAUGCGUAGAUAUCGGGAGGAACACCAGUGGCGAAGGCGAUCACCUGGGGUUGUUCUGACGCUGAGGAGCGAAAGCUAGGGGAGCAAACGGG
rnacentral:rRNA from 1 species